CUUUCUCGUCGUGCAAUUGUUCAGGAGCAUAAUUUCGCUUUUGCCUGAGUAUGAUAUCGUAGUAAAAUUGAAAUGUAAAGCGAUCUUAAUGAAGCUAUUUCAUUAGCGAUGCUGUGUAUGCUCAUAUUAGAUUGUUCUCAAACGACAUUUUACGAACCUUAAAAAUCUUAAGAAAUGUUUGAUUGCAGAAGAACAGUGAAGCAACUUAUGUGUAUAUACGCAUCAUGUUGAAUUUGUCACGAAGUUUUGAACAAAGAAAAAUCCCAUCAUGUUUUUAAUCUUGAGAAACACAAUAUUGACAGGUAUAUUGGUGUUUCAAUGAACACGAUAUGUUGGUGAAGCACU